AUUCUCAUACUUUAUGUCCCAACAAACUUACCAUUGAAAACGAUGACCUUUCUCCGUCGACCCAAAUUAUUUAAAGUAGUUCCGGCGCAAUGUUUACAUUUUUAGCUAGCUUCAACUCAAGGUGAACUUCAGCCAACUUGAUUAGAUGCGCGGAACGCGCAUAAAGACAGUUGGCUGACCUGGGAAUCCAGGAUCAACUCUCUUAUUUAUACUCAUACUUUAUGUCCCAACAAAGAAAUUUCACUGUGCGCGCCUAUGGUGCGCGUUAUGUCUACUAUAGUGUGAAUGGGGGUGGGGGACAUAAAGUAUGAGUAUAUUAAGAGAGAUGAAGAUUGGCUUUCAAGGUUAAUGAAUCGUUUUGAGAUCUCAUAAAUAUACAUGGCUAGCUGUCAAGCUAAAAUCGUAUUAGGAAGACGGUAAGUGCGGCUUGAAUUGAAAAACAAGGGGAAAAUGGGGUUUAAAAUAUACACGUGCUGAUUACGGCUUAUGAAUUCAGCAAAAGGUGGGGGACAUAAAGUAUGAGUAUAUUAAGAGAGAUGAAGUUUUGUUUUCAAGGUUAAGCCAACAAGAUUAAAUGCGCGGAACAAGCAUAGUGUGAAUGAGGUGGGGGACAUAAAGUAUGAGUAUAUUAAGAGAGAUGAAGUUUUGUUUUCAAGGUUUAGCCAACAAGAUUAAAUGCGCGGAACAAGCAUAGUGUAGAGGGAUGAAGUUUUGUUUUCAAGGUUUAGCCAACAAGAUUAAAUGCGCGGAACAAGCAUAGUGUGAAUGAGGGUGGGGGACAUAAAGUAUGAGUAUAUUAAGAGAGAUGAAGUUUUGUUUUCAAGGUUUAGCCAUCAAGGUUAAAUGCGCGGAACAAGCAUAGUGUGAAUGGGGGUGGGGGACAUAAAGUAUGAGUAUAUUAAGAGAGAUGAAGUUUUGUUUUCAAGGUUUAGCCAACAAGAUUAAAUGCGCGGAACAAGCAUAGUGUGAAUGAGGGUGGGGGACAUAAAGUAUGAGUAUAUUAAGAGAGAUGAAGUUUUGUUUUCAAGGUUUAGCCAACAAGAUUAAAUGCGCGGAACAAGCAUAGUGUGAAUGGGGGUGGGGGACAUAAAGUACAUAGUAUGAGUAUAUUAAGAGAGAUGAAGUUUUGUUUUCAAGGUUUAGCCAACAAGAUUAAAUGCGCGGAACAAGCAUAGUGUGAAUGGGGGUGGGGGACAUAAAGUAUGAGUAUAUUAAGAGAGAUGAAGGAAUUUGGUAUCAAGGUUUCCCUAUCCAACAGGGUUAAAAGGAGGUGGGG